ACUCCUACGGGAGGCAGCAGUAGGGAAUCUUCCACAAUGGGCGCAAGCCUGAUGGAGCAACACCGCGUGAGUGAAGAAGGGUUUCGGCUCGUAAAGCUCUGUUGUUAAAGAAGAACACGUAUGAGAGUAACUGUUCAUACGUUGACGGUAUUUAACCAGAAAGUCACGGCUAACUACGUGCCAGCAGCCGCGGUAAUACGUAGGGGUGCAAGCGUUGUCCGGAUUUACUGGGUUUAAAGGGUACGUAGGCGGUUGUGCCAAGUCUGGGGUGAAAGUUUGCAGCUCAACUGUAAAAUUGCCUUGGAUACUGGUCGGCUAGAGUAGUGGAGCGGUGGCUGGAAUUUAUAGUGUAGCGGUGAAAUGCUUAGAUACUAUGAGGAACACCAAUUGCGAAGGCAGGUCACUGGUCACUAACUGACGCUGAGGUACGAAAGUGUGGGGAUCAAACAGGAUUAGAUACCCUGGUAGGAUAGCGUAGUCGUGGGGACAAGGCACACA
rnacentral:rRNA from 1 species